UAAUUGUUGUGUCAUGGGUUCACUUCAGAUAACCUUCUUAUUAGAGACAACACAGACACGUUUGUUCCUUUCAGUGGAUAA